UACAGAGGGUGCGAGCGUUAAUCGGAGUUACUGGGCGUAAAGCGCGCGUAGGCGGCCCGGUAAGUCCGCUGUGAAAGUCAAAGGCUCAACCUUUGAAUGUCAGCGGAUACUGCCGGUCUAGAGUCCGGAAGAGGCGAGUGGAACUCCUGGUGUAGCGGUGGAAUGCGCAGAUAUCAGGAAGAACACCAACGGCGAAGGCAGCUCGCUGGGACGGAACUGACGCUAAGGCGCGAAAGCGUGGGGAGCGAACAGG
rnacentral:rRNA from 1 species